UCAUACGUAGGACCCAAGCGUUAUCCGGAGUGACUGGGCGUAAAGAGUUGCGUAGGUGGUUAGUAAAGUGAAUAGUGAAACCUGGUGGCUCAACCAUACAGACUAUUAUUCAAACUCACUAACUCGAGAAUGGUAGAGGUAACUGGAAUUUCUAGUGUAGGAGUGAAAUCCGUAGAUAUUAGAAGGAACACCAAUGGCGUAGGCAGGUUACUGGACCAUUUCUGACACUGAGGCACGAAAGCGUGGGGAGCGAACCGGAUUAGAUACCCGGGUAGUCCACGCCGUAAACGAUGGAUACUAGCUGUUGGAGGUAUCGACCCCUUCAGUAGCGAAGCUAACGCGUUAAGUAUCCCGCCUGUGGAGUACGGUCGCAAGACUA
rnacentral:rRNA from 1 species